rnacentral:rRNA from 1 species
UACGUAGGGUGCGAGCGUUAAUCGGAAUUACUGGGCGUAAAGCGUGCGCAGGCGGUCUGUUAAGACCGAUGUGAAAUCCCCGGGCUUAACCUGGGAACUGCAUUGGUGACUGGCAGGCUUUGAGUGUGGCAGAGGGAGGUAGAAUUCCACGUGUAGCAGUGAAAUGCGUAGAGAUGUGGAGGAAUACCGAUGGCGAAGGCAGCCUCCUGGGCCAACACUGACGCUCAUGUACGAAAGCGUGGGGAGCAAACAGG